GAUGAACGCUGACAGAAUGCUUAACACAUGCAAGUCAACUUGAACUUCGGUUUGGGUGGCGGACGGGUGAGUAACGCGUAAAGAACUUGCCUCACAGAUAGGGGCAACAUUUGGAAACGAAUGCUAAUACCUGAUAUUAUGAUUAUAUGGCAUCGUAUAAUUAUGAAAGCUAUAUGCGCUGUGAGAGAGCUUUGCGUCCCAUUAGCUAGUUGGAGAGGUAACGGCUCACCAAGGCGAUGAUGGGUAGCCGGCCUGAGAGGGUGAUCGGCCACAAGGGGACUGAGACACGGCCCUUACUCCUACGGGAGGCAGCAGUGGGGAAUAUUGGACAAUGGACCAAGAGUCUGAUCCAGCAAUUCUGUGUGCACGAUGAAGUUUUUCGGAAUGUAAAGUGCUUUCAGUUGGGAAGAAAAAAAUGACGGUACCAACAGAAGAAGUGACGGCUAAAUACGUG
rnacentral:rRNA from 1 species